rnacentral:rRNA from 1 species
GACGAACGCUGGCGGCGCGCCUAACACAUGCAAGUCGAGCGAGAACCCGAGGAGGGGUAACCCUUCUCGGGGGAGAGCGGCGAACGGGUGAGUAAUGCAUCGGAACAUGCCCAUGGAUGGGGGAUAGCCCGGCGAAAGCCGGAUUAAUACCGCAUGAGCCCGAGAGGGGAAAGUGGGGGACCGCAAGGCCUCACGUCGAUGGGUUGGCCGAUGUCCGAUUAGCUAGUUGGUGGGGUAAAGGCCCACCAAGGCGAUGAUCGGUAGCUGGUCUGAGAGGAUGAUCAGCCACACUGGGACUGAGAACCGGCCCAGACUCCUACGGGAGGCAGCAGUGGGGAAUGUUGGACAAUGGGGGCAACCCUGAUCCAGCCAUUCCGCGUGAGUGAAGGAGGCCUUCGGGUUGUAAAGCUCUUUUGUCCGGAACGAAACGGGUAAGGCUAAUACUCUUGCCUACUGACGGUACCGGAAGAAUAAGCACCGGCUAACUACGUGCCAGCCGCCGCAGUAAAAC